AUUUUUUAUUUUUAACCUAACCGCUACCGCCCGCAACCGCAAACGCUUGCGGGAAGGAGCUUUUGAAAACUGGCGAUUUCGAGCGGUCCAAAGCGAUAUCUAGCGAUUUCUAUGAUUGGUUCCAAUCGCUAACAACCGCUACCAAUCGUAAACGCUGCGUUUGCGGGUGGUAACGUCCUGCCAAACCUGUCCCGCCAACCCGUUCCGUAAAAAAAGCAAUUUAUUUUAUUAAUGUUGAUUUUAUUUAUGAUAUGUUUAUGAAUUAUUGUCUAAAUAUUUUGUAAUUUUGUAU
rnacentral:sRNA from 1 species